rnacentral:rRNA from 1 species
UAAUCGGGAGAAAUUCCGUCUAAUACGGCAUAAUGCAUCGACGGGACAUCCUGUUGGUGCCAAAGGUUAAUUCCGGUGGCGGAUGGGCAUGCGUCGCAUUAGUUAGUUGGCGGUGUAACGGACCACCAAGACGACGAUGCGUAGGGGUUCUGAGAGGAAGGUCCCCCACACUGGUACUGAGACACGGACCAGACUCCUACGGAAGGCAGCAG